UUUUUGAUAAUAAUUUAAAGUUUAAUCUGCCCACUGAUUAUAAAAUUGAAGGGCUGCAGUAUUUUGACUGUACAAAGGUAGCAUAAUCAAUAGUCUUUUAAUUGAUGACUUGUAUGAAGGAUUGGAUGAAAUAUAAGCUGUCUCUUAUUAAUUAAUAAAAUUUAAUUUUUUAGUUAAAAAGCUAAAAUAAUUUUAAAAGACGAGAAGACCCUAUAGAGUUUUAUAAUUUAGUAUAUUAUUAUUUUUAUGAAAAUUUUUAAAAUAUAAUUAAUUAAAUUAUUUUAUUGGGGUGAUAGAAAAAUUGAAUUAACUUUUUAUAUAAAUUAUACAUAAAUAUAUGAAUAAAUGAUCCAUUAAUAAUGAUUAAAAGAAAAAAUUACCUUAGGGAUAACAGCGUAAUUUUUUUUUUUAGUUCAAAUAAGAAAAAGAGUUUGCGACCUCGAUGUUGGAUUAAGAUAAAAUUUAAAUGCAAAAGUUUAAAAUUUUGAUCUGUUCGAUCAUUAAAAUCUUACA
rnacentral:rRNA from 1 species